UACGGAGGGUGCAAGUGUUAUUCGGAAUCACUGGGCGUAAAGAGCACGUAGGCGGAUAGGCAAGUCAGAUGUGAAAUCCCGGAGCUCAACUCCGGAACUGCAUUUGAUACUGCCUGUCUUGAGUGAGGUAGAGGGGAGUGGAAUUCCCGGUGUAGAGGCGAAAUUCGUAGAUAUCGGGAGGAACACCAGAGGCGAAGGCGACUCCCUGGGCCUCUACUGACGCUGAGGUGCGAAAGCGUGGGGAGCAAACAGGAUUAGAUA
rnacentral:rRNA from 1 species